rnacentral:rRNA from 1 species
AUUGAACGCUGGCGGCAGGCCUAACACAUGCAAGUCGAGCGGUAGAGAGGUGCUUGCAUCUCUUGAGAGCGGCGGACGGGUGAGUAAUGCCUAGGAAUCUGCCCUAGUGGUGGGGGAUAACGUUCGGAAACGGACGCUAAUACCGCAUACGUCCUACGGGAGAAAGCGGGGGAGUCUUCGGACCUCGCGCCAUUAGAUGAGCCUAGGUCGGAUUAGCUAGUUGGUGAGGUAAUGGCUCACCAAGGCGACGAUCCGUAACUGGUCUGAGAGGAUGAUCAGUCACACUGGAACUGAGACACGGUCCAGACUCCUACGGGAGGCAGCAGUGGGGAAUAUUGGACAAUGGGCGAAAGCCUGAUCCAGCAAUGCCGCGUGAGUGAUGAAGGCCUUAGGGUUGUAAAGCUCUUUUACCAGGGAUGAUAAUGACAGUACCUGGAGAAUAAAGCUCCGGCUAACUCCGUGCCAGCAGCCGCGGU